rnacentral:rRNA from 2 species
CAGGAGCUUGCUCUUGUGAUUAGUGGCGAACGGGUGAGUAACACGUGAGUAACCUGCCCCUGACUCUGGGAUAAGCGUUGGAAACGACGUCUAAUACUGGAUAUGAUCACUGGCCGCAUGGUCUGGUGGUGGAAAGAUUUUUUGGUUGGGGAUGGACUCGCGGCCUAUCAGCUUGUUGGUGAGGUAAUGGCUCACCAAGGCGACGACGGGUAGCCGGCCUGAGAGGGUGACCGGCCACACUGGGACUGAGACACGGCCCAGACUCCUACGGGAGGCAGCAGUGGGGAAUAUUGCACAAUGGGCGAAAGCCUGAUGCAGCAACGCCGCGUGAGGGAUGACGGCCUUCGGGUUGUAAACCUCUUUUAGUAGGGAAGAAGCGAGAGUGACGGUACCUGCAGAAAAAGCACCGGCUAACUACGUGCCAGCAGCCGCGGUAAUACGUAGGGUGCAAGCGUUGUCCGGAAUUAUUGGGCGUAAAGAGCUCGUAGGCGGUUUGUCGCGUCUGCUGUGAAAUCCCGAGGCUCAACCUCGGGCUUGCAGUGGGUACGGGCAGACUAGAGUGCGGUAGGGGAGAUUGGAAUUCCUGGUGUAGCGGUGGAAUGCGCAGAUAUCAGGAGGAACACCGAUGGCGAAGGCAGAUCUCUGGGCCGUAACUGACGCUGAGGAGCGAAAGCGUGGGGAGCGAACAGGAUUAGAUACCCUGGUAGUCCACGCCGUAAACGUUGGGCGCUAGAUGUAGGGACCUUUCCACGGUUUCUGUGUCGUAGCUAACGCAUUAAGCGCCCCGCCUGGGGAGUACGGCCGCAAGGCUAAAACUCAAAGGAAUUGACGGGGGCCCGCACAAGCGGCGGAGCAUGCGGAUUAAUUCGAUGCAACGCGAAGAACCUUACCAAGGCUUGACAUACACCGGAAACGGCCAGAGAUGGUCGCCCCCUUGUGGUCGGUGUACAGGUGGUGCAUGGUUGUCGUCAGCUCGUGUCGUGAGAUGUUGGGUUAAGUCCCGCAACGAGCGCAACCCUCGUUCUAUGUUGCCAGCGCGUUAUGGCGGGGACUCAUAGGAGACUGCCGGGGUCAACUCGGAGGAAGGUGGGGAUGACGUCAAAUCAUCAUGCCCCUUAUGUCUUGGGCUUCACGCAUGCUACAAUGGCCGGUACAAAGGGCUGCGAUACCGUAAGGUGGAGCGAAUCCCAAAAAGCCGGUCUCAGUUCGGAUUGAGGUCUGCAACUCGACCUCAUGAAGUCGGAGUCGCUAGUAAUCGCAGAUCAGCAACGCUGCGGUGAAUACGUUCCCGGGCCUUGUACACACCGCCCGUCAAGUCAUGAAAGUCGGUAACACCCGAAGCCGGUGGCC